UCGUGUAGUAGGCCACGUAGGUGACAGUUACGUUGGUCCCCUGUAGUGCACCUCCUGUUAGCAGGACUGGUAGGGUGUAUCGGCCUAUGGAUUAGCAUCCUUUGUGGUGUAUUCAUAUCACGUGGUUCGUCCCAGACAUAGACAUACCCCUUUGAAGUAGAGAAUCCAUAGUUAUCCUCUCUAUUCUCCUACCAUCGCCCAUAUACUAGAUUGCUCUACUCUCUAUUCCCAUAUUAUCACCCAUUGUUAUCUUACCUUUAAUAUUGUUCUUAUUCAAUUCUACCAUCUUUCCUAUUUACACCUAUCUAUCUAUCUAGGUUAAGUUAGAGCGC
rnacentral:lncRNA from 1 species